UAUCUAUCCAGAUUCUAACACAGCAAUUGUCAUUGCAGUCAUCAUUCCUUUGAUUAUUUUGAUCGCGGUUACUGUCAUCCUUUUCCUCAAAAGACAUCAAAUAAUUGGUUAUUGUGCUGCUUGCCGUGGGAAACGAAAGAUUUCCAGGAGGCAAAGCAACACGGGGAUCUUCUGGACCCAUUUGUCUGGUCAUCGGCUCUAAAUCCCAGCUUUACUAAAGCAACUGGAGCUCCUAACCAUCUGUGCCUUCAUAACUUUGACUGUUGCUUUUGGACCUCUCUGUCUCCUGGACCUCGUUGAUGGUGUUGGAACUUCAUCCUUUGGUUCUGAAUACUAUGCUACAUAUGCAAAUAGCCUACUUAGUUUUCAGGGAGGGACAAUGGCACCAAGCAGAGAGUUUUGCAGGCGUGGCUGAUUGUGUAGAAAUAAAUACCUACUAAAAAUGUCUAUUAUAUUAAGCAACGCAUAAAACACAUAUAGACCUGAAAUGGUAUACAUGAAAACCAAGGCAAAAAGAUUUGUGUCUUCAGGGAAACAUGAACGGCAACACAUGCAUAUGAAAAAUCUAAGCUUUAAUCAAAUUUACAUCUUACAUUUCUACAUAACAGAUUAGUUUGUAUUGUGUAAUCACUGUAAUAGGUUGCAGUUUAAAUACAUGUCAGAAAAUAUGUAAAUCAGCUAUUGUUAGAGCACUCCAAAUAUUCACUCCAAGAUUAAUGUCCAAAAAGUUGAAGAUCCAGCACACAGGUAGUAAGUUUGUAGUGUGCUAAUGUAAUGCGCAGUUCAUUAAAGCAGUUUAUUUAAUGCCACAUGAAAAAAUACUAUAGGUAAGGGAUGAUCGACCGCUU